rnacentral:rRNA from 1 species
GAUGAACGCUGGCGGCGUGCCUAAUCCAUGCAAGUCGAGCGAAGCGGGGACGGGUGAGUAACACGUGGAUAACCUCCUAUAAGACUGGGAUAACUUCGGGAAACCGGAGCUAAACCGGAUAAUUAUAGAUGGAUCCGCGCUGACUUAGCUAGUUGGUAAGGUAACAGCUUACCACGGCAACGAUGCAUAGCCGACCUGAGAGGGGGAUCGGCCAAACUGGAACUGAGACACUGUCCAGACUCCUACGGGAGGCAGCAGGAGGGAAUCGUCCGCAAUGGGCGAAAGCCUGACGGAGCAACGCCGCGUGAGUGAUGAAGGUCUUCGGAGCGUAAAACUCUGUUAUUAGGGAAGCGGUACCUAAUCAGAAAGCCACGGCUAACUACGUGCCAGCCGCCGCGGUAAUUC